GAGAGACUGAAGCAUCUGAUACAGUAGAAGCCAAGCCUUCAAACAAUGUGUUUCCUGAGAGAUUUACUGCUGCUCUGCUUGGGUUUGCAAUAUGCACGCUGUGAGGUUGUAUUGACCCAGUCUGGGGCAGAGCUGAGGAAGCCUGGAGAAGCUCUCCAGUUGAAAUGUGAAGUCAGCGGGUUCACUUUGAGCAGCACAUGGAUGGGUUGGAUCCGCCAGGCUCCUGGGCAAGGACUGGAAUGGCUUAUCUGGUAUCACAGCUCUGGAAAUGAGCACUACAACUCGGCUAUCAAAGGAAGAUUCAUUCCUUCUAAAGACAGCUCAAACUUCUACUUGCAAAUGAACAGCCUGAAGACUGAAGACACUGCCGUGUAUUACUGUGCUCGCAGUCUGGUUCUUAACUGA